rnacentral:rRNA from 1 species
UGGGGGAUAUUGCACAAUGGGGGGAACCCUGAUGCAGCGACGCCGCGUGGGUGAAGGAGUAUUUCGGUAUGUAAAGCCCUAUCGGCAGGGAAGAAGGAAGACGGUACCUGACUAAGAAGCCCCGGCUAACUACGUGCCAGCAGCCGCGGUAAUACGUAGGGGGCGAGCGUUAUCCGGAUUCACUGGGUGUAAAGGGAGCGUAGACGGCCAUGCAAGCCAGGGGUGAAAGCCCGGGGCCCAACCCCGGGACUGCCCUUGGAACUGCUUGGCUGGAGUGCGGGAGGGGCAGGCGGAAUUCCUGGUGUAGCGGUGAAAUGCGUAGAUAUCAGGAGGAACACCGGCGGCGAAGGCGGCCUGCUGGACCGCGACUGACGUUGAGGCUCGAAAGCGUGGGGAGCGAACAGG